CCGUUCUCCAUCUCCUCCCUUCGUCUCCACAACCACGGUCGUGUUCGUCGUCGCCAUCAGAGAUCAGAUCAUAAGAAGCAGUAGUCGAUCCCAUCGCCUUACCGGUUGAUCCUUCGUUUCUUGAUCGUCUUUGGCGUUUCUUCUCUCGCGAUGACGGCGACCGCUGGUCUGCGGAUCGAUGUCGGGAGUCUUCUAUCGGCUGAGCUGGAUGCGGAGGUCGAUCAGACCCUCACGGUGGGGUGUUAAUCAGCGUUCCUCGGUGUGCCGAUCCGAGUGCCGUUUAUGCCGAGUCACAUCUCUUCAUCUCCGGGGUAGUUGGCAGCUUGUCUAAUUACAUUAGAUGGCGAUUCCCAGGUUGAGAUGCUCGCAGGGCGUGGGGCAUCGCUUUCCUAUAAAAAUGGCCUUCGUCGGGUGAUUCUCGACUUUGGCCCUUCCAACAAGCAAGUUCGCGGGUUGAUGUCGGGAGUCUUAUGUCAGUUGAGCUGGAUGCUGAGGUCGAUCGGGCCCUCACGGUAGGGUGUUGAUUAGCGUUCCUCGGUGUGUCGAUCCGGGCACCGUUUAUGCCGAGCCCCAUCUCUCCGUCUCCAGGGUGGUUAUUCCCCUACAAAAACUGCCCUCGUCGGGUGAUCCCUGAUUGUGGCCCCUCCAACGAGCAAGUCAACGGAGUAUUCAAUUGAUUUUUGCCUCUCUCUAGGGCCAGAUGCCGGCCAUAGGUCUUUAUUAAUAUACGAGGGUCGGUCGUACGCGGGUUGGCAUGGUGGACGUGUCGAACGGUGCCUUGGUACGGAUUCUGACCUGGAGUGUCUUGGGGGUGGCGCCAUCUCGGGAUUCCCGGGACGAGAUGUGCCGAGCAACGCCUUGAUAUGGAUUCUGACCUAGCGUGUGGUAUCGGUUGUGACGUGUCUUAUGCCUAAAAUAUGUUUUAUCACCGGGCAUGAAGAUAAGUUCCCGUCAAGUUAACGUGCGAACUUAUGAAGAUUUUUCAAUGCCUGACAAUAUACCGAAACCCCAUCUAGUCCUGUGCCACCUUGGGGGUUCCAGGGUGCUAAAAUAGCUGACGUUUUGUGUGCAGUUAUGGCUUACAGAAAAUAAGUCGUGGCAAGCGAAAACGGAGCCAUUUUGGGGUAGUUCGGCUCGGCGCGGUGAGCGGUUGCAUUGCAGCACUUCAACAUGUUCGAACAUGUAUUUUUAUAAGUAAAAAUAUACAAAACCAAGGCAAAAUAGGCUAUCAUGUCUCUAUACAAGCAUACAAAAGCGUUGAACGGUUCGUUGAACGAAAUAGUUGUGGGUGUGCGAUAGCCUGACAGUUCGCUCUUAAUUUAAAUUUUAUUUUGUAACUCAAAUUAGCUUUCAUAGAUACACAAAUACAUCGGUAUUCAUAGGCUUCGUAAAUAUAUCUACACCUUAAUCUUUACUUCUGUAAUAUUUCAUCUCGAUUACUUUACUCUUCACUUGAUGUUUGAGGAAAUGAUUAUCGCAUAAAUGUAUUUGCUUCUAUCACGAUUGACUGGGUUCUUGGAUAACUUCAGAGUUAGAGUUAUGACAAAAAAUCUUGGUCGA